AUUUACUUGAAAAAAUUUGCAAGUGGAAAAAACCCAGUUCCCAGGAAUCAUACCGUACUUGUUUGACUUAGGUAGUCUGUCUUGAUCUUCUCGAUCACAUGGUCCCCCAUUAGAUUGUAUGGUUCUCUCUCAUUUUCCUGCCUUAUAUAGUAUAAGGAUAUGAUAACUUUUGUCAGACAUUCUCUUCACUGUUUGAAUAAAUCCUUUAAUUUAUUGGGAUCAUGAUAUGUAGCACUCCAUGAAUGCUGCUUUUCUUGAACGAAGUGGG
rnacentral:misc_RNA from 1 species